UACAGAGGUCUCAAGCGUUGUUCGGAUUCAUUGGGCGUAAAGGGUGCGUAGGCGGCGCGGUAAGUCGGGUGUGAAAUCUCGGAGCUUAACUCCGAAACUGCAUUCGAUACUGCCGUGCUUGAGGACUGGAGAGGAGACUGGAAUUUACGGUGUAGCGGUGAAAUGCGUAGAUAAUCGUAAGGAAGGCCGGUGGCGAAAGCGAGCCUCUGGACAGUUACUGACGCUGAGCACGAAGGCCAGGGGAGCAAACGGG
rnacentral:rRNA from 1 species